GUUCCUCAUUUCAGGAGGUUGUUUUCUCCCUCAGAAUUUCGACUAGCGGACAAUCGCACGUGUCGGACAACUGCAGCGCUCCUGAUCGCAUCUGCCAGAGCGCUGUUUUUUUC
rnacentral:sRNA from 1 species